GACGAACGCUGGCGGCGUGCUUAACACAUGCAAGUCGAACGAAGAGCGAUGGAAGCUUGCUUCUAUCAAUCUUAGUGGCGAACGGGUGAGUAACGCGUAAUCAACCUGCCCUUCAGAGGGGGACAACAGUUGGAAACGACUGCUAAUACCGCAUACGAUCUAAUCUCGGCAUCGAGGAUAGAUGAAAGGUGGCCUCUACAUGUAAGCUAUCACUGAAGGAGGGGAUUGCGUCUGAUUAGCUAGUUGGAGGGGUAACGGCCCACCAAGGCGAUGAUCAGUAGCCGGUCGGAGAGGAUGAACGGCCACAGUGGGACUGAGACACGGCCCAGACUCCUACGGGAGGCAGCAGUGGGGAAUCUUCCGCAAUGGACGAAAGUCUGACGGAGCAACGCCGCGUGAGCGAUGACGGCCUUCGGGUUGUAAAGCUCUGUUAAUCGGGACGAAAGGCCUUCUUGCGAAUAGUGAGAAGGAUUGACGGUACCGGAAUAGAAAGCCACGGCUAACUACGUG
rnacentral:rRNA from 1 species